rnacentral:rRNA from 1 species
GACGAACGCUGGCGGCGUGCCUAAUACAUGCAAGUCGAACGCAGUGGGGACGGGCGAGUAACACGUGGGUAACCUCCCAUCAGAGGGGAUAACACUUGGAUACAGGUGCUAAACCGCUACUGAUGGAUGGUCCCGCGGUGCAUUAGUUAGUUGGUGAGGUAACGGCUCACCAAGGCCACGAUGCAUAUCCGACCUGAUAGGGUGGUCGGCCACACUGAGACUGAGACACGGCCCAGACUCCUACAGGAGGCAGCAGGAGGGAAUCUUCGGCAAUGGACGAAAGUCUGACCGAACAACGCCGCGUGAGUGAAGAGGGUUUUCGGAUCAUAGAACUCUGUUGUUAGAGAAGCGGUAUCUAACCAGAAAGCCACGGCUAACUACGUGCCAGCAGCCGCGGUAAUAC